rnacentral:rRNA from 1 species
ACUCCUACGGGUGGCAGCAGUAGGGAAUCUUCCACAAUGGGCGCAAGCCUGAUGGAGCAACACCGCGUGAGUGAAGAAGGGUUUCGGCUCGUAAAGCUCUGUUGUUAAAGAAGAACACGUAUGAGAGUAACUGUUCAUACGUUGACGGUAUUUAACCAGAAAGUCACGGCUAACUACGUGCCAGCAGCCGCGGUAAUACGUAGGUGGCAAGCGUUAUCCGGAUUUAUUGGGCGUAAAGAGAGUGCAGGCGGUUUUCUAAGUCUGAUGUGAAAGCCUUCGGCUUAACCGGAGAAGUGCAUCGGAAACUGGAUAACUUGAGUGCAGAAGAGGGUAGUGGAACUCCAUGUGUAGCGGUGGAAUGCGUAGAUAUAUGGAAGAACACCAGUGGCGAAGGCGGCUACCUGGUCUGCAACUGACGCUGAGACUCGAAAGCAUGGGUAGCGAACAGGAUUAGAUACCCUGGUAGGAUAGCG